ACUAAAGGGAAAAUUAUAGAAUUAGAAGAUUAUCUGAUCUCAGAAGCUAAGCAGGGUCGGGCCUGGUUAGUACUUGAAUGGGAGACCACCUAGGAAGACCAGGUGCUGUAGGCG
rnacentral:rRNA from 1 species